CUAAGAAUAUUCCGCAAUGGACGGAAGUCUGACGGAGCGACGCCGCGUGGAUGAAGAAGGCCGAAAGGUUGUAAAGUUCUUUUGCUGGGGAAGAAUAACCGCAGGAGGGAAUGCCUGUGGGAUGACAAGAACCGGCGAAUAAGCCCCGGCCAACUACGUGCCAGCAGCCGCGGUAACACGUAGGGGGGCCGAGCGUUGUUCGGAAUUACUGGGCGUAAAGGGCAUGUAGGCGGCUUGGAAAGCCUGGGCGUGAAAAGUCUGCAGCUUAACUGCAGGGGUGCGCUGGGAACUGCUGAGCUUGAGUGACGGAGAGGGAGCUGGAAUUCCUGGUGUAGGGGGUGAAAUCUGUAGAUAUCAGGAAGAACACCGAUGGCGAAGGCAAGCUCCGUGG
rnacentral:rRNA from 1 species